CUUUUACAAUGAAGAGUUUGAUCCUGGCUCAGGAUGAACGCUAGCUACAGGCUUAACACAUGCAAGUCGAGGGGCAUCAGGAAGAAAGCUUGCUUUCUUUGCUGGCGACCGGCGCACGGGUGAGUAACACGUAUCCAACCUGCCCUUUACUCGGGGAUAGCCUUUCGAAAGAAAGAUUAAUACCCGAUGGCAUAAUGAUUCCGCAUGGUUUCAUUAUUAAAGGAUUCCGGUAAAGGAUGGGGAUGCGUUCCAUUAGGUUGUUGGUGAGGUAACGGCUCACCAAGCCUUCGAUGGAUAGGGGUUCUGAGAGGAAGGUCCCCCACAUUGGAACUGAGACACGGUCCAAACUCCUACGGGAGGCAGCAGUGAGGAAUAUUGGUCAAUGGGCGCUAGCCUGAACCAGCCAAGUAGCGUGAAGGAUGAAGGCUCUAUGGGUCGUAAACUUCUUUUAUAUAAGAAUAAAGUGCAGUAUGUAUACUGUUUUGUAUGUAUUAUAUGAAUAAGGAUCGGCUAACUCCGUGCCAGCAGCCGCGGUAAUACGGAGGAUCCGAGCGUUAUCCGGAUUUAUUGGGUUUAAAGGGAGCGUAGGUGGACUGGUAAGUCAGUUGUGAAAGUUUGCGGCUCAACCGUAAAAUUGCAGUUGAUACUGUCAGUCUUGAGUACAGUAGAGGUGGGCGGAAUUCGUGGUGUAGCGGUGAAAUGCUUAGAUAUCACGAAGAACUCCGAUUGCGAAGGCAGCUCACUGGACUGCAACUGACACUGAUGCUCGAAAGUGUGGGUAUCAAACAGGAUUAGAUACCCUGGUAGUCCACACAGUAAACGAUGAAUACUCGCUGUUUGCGAUAUACAGUAAGCGGCCAAGCGAAAGCAUUAAGUAUUCCACCUGGGGAGUACGCCGGCAACGGUGAAACUCAAAGGAAUUGACGGGGGCCCGCACAAGCGGAGGAACAUGUGGUUUAAUUCGAUGAUACGCGAGGAACCUUACCCGGGCUUAAAUUGCAGUGGAAUGAUGUGGAAACAUGUCAGUGAGCAAUCACCGCUGUGAAGGUGCUGCAUGGUUGUCGUCAGCUCGUGCCGUGAGGUGUCGGCUUAAGUGCCAUAACGAGCGCAACCCUUAUCUUCAGUUACUAACAGGUCAUGCUGAGGACUCUGGAGAGACUGCCGUCGUAAGAUGUGAGGAAGGUGGGGAUGACGUCAAAUCAGCACGGCCCUUACGUCCGGGGCUACACACGUGUUACAAUGGGGGGUACAGAAGGCAGCUAGCGGGUGACCGUAUGCUAAUCCCAAAAUCCUCUCUCAGUUCGGAUCGAAGUCUGCAACCCGACUUCGUGAAGCUGGAUUCGCUAGUAAUCGCGCAUCAGCCACGGCGCGGUGAAUACGUUCCCGGGCCUUGUACACACCGCCCGUCAAGCCAUGGGAGCCGGGGGUACCUGAAGUACGUAACCGCAAGGAUCGUCCUAGGGUAAAACUGGUGACUGGGGCUAAGUCGUAACAAGGUAGCCGUACCGGAAGGUGCGGCUGGAACACCUCCUUUCU
rnacentral:rRNA from 1 species